GAUGAAGAACGUAGCGAAAUGCGAUAAGUAAUGUGAAUUGCAGAAUUCAGUGAACCAUCGAAUCUUUGAACGCACAUUGCGCCCGGCAGUAAUCUGCCGGGCAUGCCUGUCCGAGCGUCAUUUCUCCCCUCGAGCGCAGCUUUCCCCCCCGGGGGAGGGCCGCGCCCGGUGUUGGGGCGCUACGGAGGAGCCAGCGCUCCCCCGUAGGCCCCGAAAUGUAGUGGCGGUCCCGCCGCGGCGCCCCCUGCGUAGUAGUUUUACAACUCGCAUCGGGUCCCGGCGGAGGCCAGCCGUCAAACCCCCCAACUUCAAUAGUUUGACCUCGGAUCAGGUAGGGUUACCCGCUGAACUUAAGCAUAUCAAUAAGCGGAGGA
rnacentral:misc_RNA from 1 species